ACCUAAAUAGUUUAUAUAAAAUAUUAAUUUGUGGGAUUGAAAAAGUAAGUAAUUACUUUAGGUA
rnacentral:tRNA from 1 species